rnacentral:rRNA from 1 species
UACGGAGGAUGCGAGCGUUAUCCGGAUUUAUUGGGUUUAAAGGGUGCGUAGGCGGACUUUUAAGUCAGCGGUAAAAAUUCGGGGCUCAACCCCGUCCGGCCGUUGAAACUGGGGGCCUUGAGUGGGCGAGAAGAAGGCGGAAUGCGUGGUGUAGCGGUGAAAUGCAUAGAUAUCACGCAGAACCCCGAUUGCGAAGGCAGCCUUCCGGCGCCCUACUGACGCUGAGGCACGAAAGUGCGGGGAUCGAACAGG